CCUACGGGAGACAGCAGUGAGGAAUAUUGGUCAAUGGACGAGAGUCUGAACCAGCCAAGUAGCGUGAAGGAUGACUGCCCUAUGGGUUGUAAACUUCUUUUAUAUGGGAAUAAAACGUUCCACGUGUGGGAUUUUGUAUGUACCAUAUGAAUAAGGAUCGGCUAACUCCGUGCCAGCAGCCGCGGUAAUACGGAGGAUCCGAGCGUUAUCCGGAUUUAUUGGGUUUAAAGGGAGCGUAGGUGGAUUGUUAAGUCAGUUGUGAAAGUUUGCGGCUCAACCGUGAAAUUGCAGUUGAAACUGGCAGUCUUGAGUACAGUAGAGGUGGGCGGAAUUCGUGGUGUAGCGGUGAAAUGCUUAGAUAUCACGAAGAACUCCGAUUGCGAAGGCAGUUCACUGGACUGCAACUGACACUGAGGCUCGAAAGUGUGGGUAUCAAACAGGAUUAGAUACCCGGGUAGUC
rnacentral:rRNA from 1 species